rnacentral:snRNA from 1 species
GGGUGUGAGGGCGAUCUGGCUGUGAAGUCUGUCACCCCAUUGAUCGCCAGGGUUGAUUCGGCUGAUCUGGCUGGCUAGGCGGGUGUCCCCUUCCUCCCUCACUGCUCCCUCCCAAGCUGCUCACUCAGUCUAAGAGGACAGCCUCCCCCGAAUAUAGACUGACCCCGGUCCUCGAUCAAGGGUAUAUGAGUAGCUGCACUUCCCUGCUAGAACCUCCAAACAAGCUCUCAAGGUCCAAAAUAUGUCUGCUGAGAGUGUACUCCACUUACUCAGAAGAUGAAUCACUUUUUUAAAAAAAUAUUUAUUUAUUC